rnacentral:rRNA from 1 species
AUUGAACGCUGGCGGCAGGCUUUAACACAUGCAAGUCGAGCGGGGAGAUGUAGCUUGCUACAUUUCCUAGCGGCGGACGGGUGAGUAAUGCUUAGGAAUCUGCCUAUUAGUGGGGGACAACAUUCCGAAAGGAAUGCUAAUACCGCAUACGCCCUACGGGGGGAAAAGCAGGGGAUCUUCGGACCUUGCGCUAAUAGAUGAGCCUAAGUCAGAUUAGCUAGUUGGUGGGGUAAAGGCCUACCAAGGCGACGAUCUGUAGCGGGUCUGAGAGGAUGAUCCGCCACACUGGGACUGAGACACGGCCCAGACUCCUACGGGAGGCAGCAGUGGGGAAUAUUGGACAAUGGGCGAAAGCCUGAUCCAGCCAUGCCGCGUGUGUGAAGAAGGCCUUUUGGUUGUAAAGCACUUUAAGCGAGGAGGAGGCUACUUAGAUUAAUACUCUAGGAUAGUGGACGUUACUCGCAGAAUAAGCACCGGCUAACUCUGUG